ACUGCUCACACACACACACACGUCUUACGUAUGUGUGUGUGGGUGGCUGAGUGUGUGUCUGUAUUUUUGCGCUAUGUAUCUCAUACAUAUAUGUUAGAAUAAUACACACACGCACGCA
rfam:Octopus bimaculoides Scaffold69564_contig_10, whole genome shotgun sequence.